CCAAACACCACAUGUUGUCUCUUAGAAGUGGGAGCUGAACGUACCUAAUUCUUGCAAUUCAGUGUAUUUCCUGGCGAGAGGCAGAGAUGAACAACCCUGGACAGUUACCACAUAUGGCUCUUAUGAGGUAAUGAGGAUGGUUGUGAUGAGAAGGGUAAAAAAUAAAAAAGUUAUUACAAAACAUUUUUCAAGGAAUUUUCCAAAAAAUGAUUUUAAUAUUCUCUUUGCUUAUGGAAUGAUAUUUAAAACCAUGAUUUCUGUGUCCUUUAAAAUGACUUCUGAUUUGUGAAUUGUUCUCUGUGCUCCAAACUUCUUUUAUUUGUCCCUGUGUUUAUGCUCAUAACCAUUCAUUUCCCUCUUUUCCCACUGACUUAGCCUCUGGGGUUGUAAAGAAGUUACUCGUUUAUUUUUGUGUAUGUGUGGGGUUUUGUCUUUUGUUUUCUGAGAAUAAAGUAUAUGAGAUCAUGGAAAAAAUCAGAAAACGAGGAAAAUCAUAAAUUCAUUACCAAAAUAAUUUCUGAUUUGGUAUUAUAGCUCUGCAAAUUACUUCACUAAUUGUGUUCAUAGGUACUAUGGUACACUGUACACUGUUUUGUAACUUGCUUUUUAGAUGGAUUAUAUCAUAUUUUUCUGUAUCAAUAAAUAUGAAUUCAUUACAUCAGUUUAAACUGAUCAAAAACAUUUUAAUCAAAGUAAUACAAUUAAAUUGCUAAAUAUCAUAGGGAAUCGAAGAGUUUAUAAUCCCAAACCAUACUCUUUCUUUUCCUAGCCAGCUGGGGACAUUUUUAAUUGUUUCUAUUUUCAUUCUUUCUGUUUCAGUUCUUAUAAAAAUACAUAUAUAAAAUUGGCUAAAUGAUUAAAUGUUAUAGUAGUUCUUUAAUUAUAAAUUUGAAUAAUAUUUGUUGACUUCCAAACUGCAUACCCCUUGCCUUGUCCAAGUAAAACUGUACCAUCGUUUAUUCUCUGUGUUGUCAAUAAAACACUAAGUGAUA
rnacentral:lncRNA from 1 species